GGGAGCCCGGCGGACGCUGGGUCUGCAGAUGCCAUCCAGGCGCACGGCGGGUAUAGUGGUUCCGCAACCUUGGGAUGUUCGGCUGAGCGCCUGCCUAACAUGGGAGCGCCUGCCUAACCCUCCUGACUGGAGGGUCAGCGGCGGGGAGUCCUGGCCUUCAAUCGGCCAUCGCCACGGCAGAAACUGGGGCCCGGGCUGCGUCCAGGCCCUUCCCCGUCCGUCCACAGGUCUCAUGGGCGCCCGGACUGGGGCUGAUGUAGUUUCCCGACCUCUGACACAUAGGAUCUGGAGAUUAAAGCUGCUCUGCUAAUAAUUAGGUUCCCACCUCUCAAGAUCAUUAGGAGCUUCUUUUCCAAUUCCUCUGUUUUGCAUGCAUUGGAAGGCCCCUGGAUCCUCCUGGAAUCCCUGAUCCCUGUUGCUCCCUGGCGGAGUUUUCUAGUCCCUCUUACUUGAAGCAUGUCUUUCAGAGCCCGGCACCACCCAAGUUGGGUAUCUGCUACACCUCUAUGGUAUUUUUUUCACCUCAUAUCAUACCUUCCUCCCUCACUGGACUUCAGUGUGGGACCUGCAGGUCUCAGGCCUUCUGGGAAGUCCCAGCUUUUCUUGAAUGUUCUCUCUCUCUGGCCAGCUCAGGCUGGAGCAGUGGGUGUUGGUGCCAUCCUGUGGCUAUAGGUGAUAAGCCGGCUGUUCUUCACUGACCUGGUCUUACCUUGAACCCUGGAGUUCUCACAUGCAUGGAUUUAAAUGCUGUGUCUUUCUAAGGGCACAUUAUGGCCAUUUUCCUUAUCUCCCUCCCAAGGGGCUGUUUCCUGUAUUUAUUGACUCCCUGUUUAAAAAAAAUAUAUGUAUAUAUAGACAAAUUGGAUUGUACCCCAUAAACUGCAUGUUUUAAAAAUACUUCAAAGAAUAGUUUUUCAUUUUUUUCUUGCUGGUUUUUAUGUAUCUUCUAAAUUGUAUAUAUUUAUGGGGUAUAAAAUGAUGUUGUGAUUUUUCAAUACAGUGUGGAAUGAGAAUCAAAUUAACCUAUCCGUUACCUCAAGUACUUGACUUUUUUUGUGAUGAGAAGGCUGUUUAUCACUUUCACUCACCAGCUCCUGCUGUCUUCCAUGCUGGGGACAGGAAAGGCUCCACGCUUGACUUUCCCUCCUGUUUUCUUAUCUGCUGUCAACCCCUGAAUGUACCCUCCAGGAUUGACUUCUAGACCUUCUACAUCUAGCUCGAUCGUUGUGCACCCACCUUCCUCCCAGGGACUGUCCUUAGGGAGUGACUUUAUGCACAAACUUCACAUGCUCUUCCUGCCUCCUUCAUCCCCAGAAGCCCCCAUCUCAGCCCCAUCUGAUUAUUUCCUCCCUCUCUCAUUUCCUGUUAUGCUGUUGGUUUUCUAACCUGAAGGGUAACUUCUUACUCCUUAGUUUUUUGCCUUAAUUUCUAAGUCAUAGGCUACUUUCAGGCUAAAAGUUUUCCUCCAGCCAUGGUUUUAGUCUCAUUCUAUAAGUCUUGCUAGGUAGUUUAUUCAUUGGAAAUUUUUUGUUUUUGAGACAGAGUCUCGCUCUAUCACCCAGGCUGUAGUACAGUGGUGCCAUCUCAGCUCACUGCAACCUCCGGUUCCCGGGCUCAAGCAGUUCUCUUUCCUCAGCCUCCUGAGUAGCUGGGAUUAUGGGUGCCUGCCACCACACCCAGCUAAUUUUUGUAUUUUUAGCAGAGACGGCAUUUCACCAUGUCAGCCAGGUUGGUCUCGAACUCUUGACCUCAAGUGAUCCGCCCGCCUUGGCCUCCCAAAAUACUGGGAUUACAGGGGUGAGUCACCGCACCCCACCCCUUGGCACUAUAUUUAAGUGAUGAUAUUUUUGGACACUGAGGUAGCCUCAUUCCACAGGUUUAGAUCUGAAGCAUUUUCACUAUUGCUUCUUUCCAUGUAUUUCCUGGUUUGCAGGUCAGUUUCUUCUUUUAAUUCAUCAUUGACACAGUGGUUUAUAUGGCUUUUAAUUUCAAAAGAUUUUUUAAAAUAUCUUUUUGCCGAUUUUUAUCUAUGUUAAUUUUAACUAGACAUGUUCCCUGGAAGGACAUCACUAGUUUUUUUUUUUUUUUUCCCUCUGUUUAUAAUUUAGGUGGAUUUUCACAUCUCAAGCCAGCUAAGAGUAUGGGAAAUAGGACUCGUUAAAGCACAGGUAUCACACAAGUGAUUCAGAUUCACGAGGGUAAUCCAGAUGAAGGUAUAUCAUUGUACCUGGCCCGCAUCACUCAAUAACUGUCACCUUUGAUUUAUUGAUUUACUUGAGAUGGAGUUUGGUUCUGUCCCCGAGGCCGGAGUGCAAUGGCGUGAUCUCUGCUCACUACAACCUCUGCCUCCCAGGUUCAGAGUGAUUCUCCUGCCUCAGCCUCUUUAGCUGGGAUUACAGGCACCCACCAACAUGCCCAGCUAAUUUUUGUAUUUUUAGUAGAGAGGAGCUUUCACCAUAAUGGCCAGGCUGGUCUUGAACCUCAAAUGAUCUGCCCACCUUGGCCUCCCAAAGUGCUAGGAUUACAGGCUGGAGCUACGGAGCCCAGCCUGUCACCUUGAUUUAAAUGAAUGCAGCUUUCUUGGUGUCUUGAUGUUUGUGAAUUUCUGUGGAGUUUGAUACUGCUCCUUUUGCUGCUUGUUUUUCCAGAGUCCCCUUAUCACUUGACGUGCUGUUAUAUUAUGUUUGAUUUAUUACAGAUACCCCAUCAGCCUGAGUCUCUUAAAGGCCUUUAUACACAUAUGUCUACACAUAGGGAUUUGGAUGAUCUCGGGAUCCCACAUCCUCGCUGUCCCCUGUCCCCCCACAACAUCCCACACCAAUACCUUUCUGAAGUUUUCUAGUCCCUCCUUUUUGUUUGUGGUCCUUAAAGCCCAGCCCCAUGCCUGACUUUGGUUCCCAGUGAGCAUUGUACAUUUGUGGAUAUUAAAUCUUUGGCAAAGUCAU
rnacentral:lncRNA from 1 species